rnacentral:rRNA from 1 species
UCAGGUGGCCGCAGAGAAUAGGCCCAAGCGACUGUUUACCAAAAACAUAGGUUUCUGCUAAGUCGCAAGACGAUGUAUAGGAGCUGACGCCUGCCCGGUGCUGGAAGGUUAAGGGGAUCUGUUAGAGCAAUCGAAGCAGUGAACUUAAGCCCCAGUAAACGGCGGCCGUAACUAUAACGGUCCUAAGGUAGCGAAAUUCCUUGUCGGGUAAGUUCCGACCCGCACGAAAGGCGUAACGAUUUGGGCACUGUCUCAACAACAGACUCGGUGAAAUUGUAAUUCCGGUGAAGAUGCCGGAUACCUGCGACAGGACGGAAAGACCCCAUGGAGCUUUACUGUAGCUUGACAUUGGGUCUUGGUACUACAUGUACAGGAUAGGUGGGAGGCUUUGAAACCAGGACGCCAGUUUUGGCGGAGCCAUCCUUGGGAUACCACCCUUGUAGUACUGGGACUCUAACCAUAGGCCAUGAAUCUGGUCUUGGGACACUGUCAGGUGGGCAGUUUGACUGGGGCGGUCGCCUCCCAAAAGGUAACGGAGGCGCUCAAAGGUUCUCUCAGUACGGUCGGAAAUCGUACGUAGAGUGUAAAGGCAAAAGAGAGCUUGAUUGCACGACAUACCGGUCGAGCAAGGAUGAAAAUCGGACUUGGGGAUCCGGUGGUGCUGCGUGGAAGGGCCAUCGCUCAACGGAUAAAAGCUACCCUGGGGAUAACAGGCUUAUCUCCCCCAAGAGUCCACAUCGACGGGGAGGUUUGGCACCUCGAUGUCGGCUCAUCACAUCCUGGGGCUGUA